rnacentral:sRNA from 1 species
AAAUGAAAAUAAAUAAAAUGUAUUUUUCUUCUAAAGAAUAUAUUUUUUGGGUAUAAAUUGGGUUAAAAUAGAGUCAAAAUCGGAUUAGUUUUGGUCAAACCGGAUGUAUAAUUAUCGGUUAACUGGUUGGUUCAAUUGGAGGCGUAGUUUUAAGAACAAAUCCGAAAGUACAUGUAGUUUUAUCGAGAUUAAAAUUGUUUAUGGUAGUUUUUCAAGUGGCUAAAAGUUUCGGGUGGAAUGUUGAGAUUCUAACUAGUAUAGGGCUGAAAAUUUAGGCAACCCAAUUAUAUUUACU